rnacentral:tRNA from 1 species
UUUAGCUCAGUUGGUCAGAGCAUGGUGCUAAUAACACCAAGGUCAUGGGUUUGAUCCCUGAA